rnacentral:SRP_RNA from 13 species
GCUGGGCAUGGUGGCAGGUGCCUGUAAUCCCAGCUACUCGGGAGGCUGAGGCGGGAGAAUUGCCUGAACCCAGGAGGCGGAGGUUGCGGUGAGCCGAGAUUGCUCGCUCUUGUUACCCGGUGGGAGUGCAAUGGUGCGAUCUCGGCUCACCACAACCUCCGCCUCCUGGGUUCAGGCAAUUGUCCCGCCUCAG